CAGGGAUUGCCCUAGUAACGGCGAGUGAAGCGGCAACAGCUCAAAUUUGAAAUCUGGCCUUCGGGUCCGAGUUGUAAUUUGUAGAGGAUGCUUUUGGUAAGGUGCCUUCCGAGUUCCCUGGAACGGGACGCCAUAGAGGGUGAGAGCCCCGUCUGGUUGGACACCGAGCCUCUGUAAAGCUCCUUCGACGAGUCGAGUAGUUUGGGAAUGCUGCUCUAAAUGGGAGGUAUAUGUCUUCUAAAGCUAAAUAUUGGCCAGAGACCGAUAGCGCACAAGUAGAGUGAUCGAAAGAUGAAAAGCACUUUGAAAAGAGAGUUAAAAAGUACGUGAAAUUGUUGAAAGGGAAGCGCUCAUGACCAGACUUGGGCUUGGUUGAUCAUCCAGGGUUCUCCCUGGUGCACUCUUCCAGUUCAGGCCAGCAUCAGUUCGCUGUGGGGGAUAAAGGCUUUGGGAAUGUGGCUCCUCCGGGAGUGUUAUAGCCCAUUGUGUAAUACCCUGUGGUGGACUGAGGUUCGCGCAUUCGCAAGGAUGCUGGCGUAAUGGUCAUCAGCGACCCGUCUUGAAACACGGACCAAGGAGUCGUCUUCGUAUGCGAGUGUUCGGGUGUUAAACCCCUACGCGUAAUGAAAGUGAACGCAGGUGAGAGCUUCGGCGCAUCAUCGACCGAUCCUGAUGUUCUCGGAUGGAUUUGAGUAAGAGCAUACGGGGCCGGACCCGAAAGAAGGUGAACUAUGCCUGUAUAGGGUGAAGCCAGAGGAAACUCUGGUGGAGGCUCGCAGCGGUUCUGACGUGCAAAUCGAUCGUCAAAUAUGGGCAUGGGGGCGAAAGACUAAUCG
rnacentral:rRNA from 1 species